rnacentral:rRNA from 1 species
GAUGAACGCUGGCGGCGUGCCUAAUACAUGCAAGUCGAGCGAACAGACGAGGAGCUCGCUCCUCUGACGUUAGCGGCGGACGGGUGAGUAACACGUGGAUAACCUACCUAUAAGACUGGGAUAACUUCGGGAAACCGGAGCUAAUACCGGAUAACAUGUUGAACCGCAUGGUUUAACAGUGAAAGACGGUCUUGCUGUCACUUAUAGAUGGAUCCGCGCCGCAUUAGCUAGUUGGUAAGGUAACGGCUUACCAAGGCAACGAUGCGUAGCCGACCUGAGAGGGUGAUCGGCCACACUGGAACUGAGACACGGUCCAGACUCCUACGGGAGGCAGCAGUAGGGAAUCUUCCGCAAUGGGCGAAAGCCUGACGGAGCAACGCCGCGUGAGUGAAGAAGGUCUUCGGAUCGUAAAACUCUGUUAUUAGGGAAGAACAAAUGUGUAAGUAACUAUGCACGUCUUGACGGUACCUAAUCAGAAAGCCACGGCUAACUACGUG